AUUGAACGCUGGCGGCAUGCCUUACACAUGCAAGUCGAACGGUAACGGGCCUUCGGGUGCCGACGAGUGGCGAACGGGUGAGUAAUGUAUCGGAACGUACCUUUCAGUGGGGGAUAACGUAGCGAAAGUUACGCUAAUACCGCAUAUUCUGUGAGCAGGUAAGCAGGGGAGCGCAAGACCUUACGCUGAUCGAGCGGCGCAUACCAGAUUAGCUAGUUGGUGAGGUAAAGGCUCACCAAGGCUACGAUCUGGAGCGGGUAUGAGAGGAUGCUCCGCCACACUGGAACGCAGACACGGUCCAGACUCCUACGGGAGGCAGCAGUGGGGAAUUUUGGGCAAUGGGGGCAACCCUGUUCCAGCCAGGCCGCGUGAUUGAAGAAGGCCUUCGGGUUGUAAAGCUCUUUCGGCCGGGAAGAAAUCGUAUCAGCUAAUACCUGGUGCGGAUGACGGUACCGGCAUAAGAAGCACCGGCUAACUACGUGCCAGCCGCCGCAGUAAAAC
rnacentral:rRNA from 1 species